rnacentral:rRNA from 1 species
GUGCCAGCAGCCGCGGUAAUACGGGGGGUGCUAGCGUUAUUCGGAAUCAUUGGGCGUAAAGGGCGCGUAGGCGGUCUCUUAAGUCAGAUGUGAAAGCCCUCGGCUUAACCGAGGAAGUGCAUUUGAUACUAAGUGACUUGAGUAUGGGAGAGGGAAGCGGAAUUCCUGGUGUAGCGGUGAAAUGCGUAGAUAUCAGGAGGAACACCGGUGGCGAAGGCGGCUUCCUGGACCAAUACUGACGCUGAGGCGCGAAGGCGUGGGGAGCAAACAGGAUUAGAAACCCCCGUAGUCC